rnacentral:rRNA from 1 species
UACGAAGGGGGCUAGCGUUGUUCGGAAUUACUGGGCGUAAAGCGCAUGUAGGCGGCGAUUCAAGUCGGGGGUGAAAUCCCAGGGCUCAACCCUGGAACUGCCUUCGAUACUGUAUUGCUAGAGUGUGGAAGAGGUUGGUGGAACUGCAAGUGUAGAGGUGAAAUUCGUAGAUAUUUGCAAGAACACCAGUGGCGAAGGCGGCCAACUGGUCCAUUACUGACGCUGAGAUGCGAAAGCGUGGGGAGCAAACAGG